UACGUAGGGUGCAAGCGUUGUCCGGAAUUAUUGGGCGUAAAAAGCUCGUAGGCGGUUUGUCGCGUCUGCUGUGAAACGCGGGGCUCAACUCCGCGCCUGCAGUGGGUACGGGCAGACUAGAGUGGCAGUAGGGGAGACUGGAAUUCCUGGUGUAGCGGUGGAAUGCGCAGAUAUCAGGAGGAACACCGGUGGCGAAGGCGGGUCUCUGGGCAGUAACUGACGCUGAGGAGCGAAAGCGUGGGGAGCGAACAGG
rnacentral:rRNA from 1 species